CUCGUAGGCGGUUCGUCGCGUCCGGUGUGAAAGUCCAUCGCCUAACGGUGGAUCUGCGCCGGGUACGGGCGGGCUGGAGUGCGGUAGGGGAGACUGGAAUUCCCGGUGUAACGGUGGAAUGUGUAGGUAUCGGGAAGAACACCAAUGGCGAAGGCAGGUCUCUGGGCCGUCACUGACGCUGAGGAGCGAAAGCGUGGGGAGCGAACA
rnacentral:rRNA from 1 species